UACAGAGGGUGCGAGCGUUGUCCGGAAUCACUGGGCGUAAAGGGCGCGUAGGUGGUGGCUUAAGCGUGCGGUGAAAGCUCGGGGCUCAACCCUGAAUCGGCCGUCGAUACUCCCGGGCUUGAGCACUGUAGAGGCAGAUGGAAUUCCGGGUGUAGCGGUGGAAUGCGUAGAGAUCCGGAAGAACACCGGUGGCGAAGGCGGUCUGCUGGGCAGUAGCUGACACUGAGGCGCGACAGCGUGGGGAGCAAACAGG
rnacentral:rRNA from 1 species